GAAACGCCGUCUGGAGAGCCGUCACGCCAUGUGACGCACCGAAGGAGCAACUGCCGCAGGCCGAUUCCUGCAGCACGAAUCUCUCAGGUACCAAGGACAGGGGGAGCGGC
rnacentral:ncRNA from 2 species